GGCACCCUAACAUCGAGAGGAAUGAAGUAAAGAAGAAAAUGUUGAAGCCAUGAAAAUCAUUUCUGGAAGAUCCAAAUGGACAAUAAGGUAUCUAUGGUAAUUGGUUUUGUUAUUUGUCAACUCAUUUAUUUAGGAUAGUGUACAGGAAGAGUAACAUGAUUACCAAGAACACCUAAAGAGUUUCAUGUCUAAAAAAAUAACAUCGAUCCUGGGAAGCCUUGAAUCAGCAUAAGGCACAGCUUGAGUGGCUGAAACUCCUGAAGGAACUCUGGAUUCCUGAAUUCUUGUUCUCUACUCAGAGAAUCUGAAUGUUGAAAGCUACCACUUCUUAUGAACUGUGAGACUGUCUAAAACUAACUCUGGGCAUAAUCAAAGAAGAGUUAAUAUACAUCAUAAGAUAAAUAAAUCACUGCAAUUCAGUAUGUAGGAGUGAUUGUCAACAAAAUAUAUGACCUUUGGACAUAAAAACACCUGCAAGAUUAGUCUUCUAGACUUCAUCCUAGAGCUCACUAUUGAGAAACAAAAAAAGACAUAUUUAUAGUUCUUCUCAUGGCUAGAGCAGUAUUUUCUGUUAUCUUUUAAGCAGAUGGACAUUUAAAAAACUGUAAAACAUCAUUACGCACGAAACAUGUUAUGCCAGGCAGACUUGAAGUGACAGACAUUCUACAAACAAACAGCAGAAAUAUGGGAAAAUAUUACAACUUCAGUGCAAAAUUAUCAAAGGUCUUCAGAAGUGUUCUUAUAUCUCAGUAACACAGAUGAUAAAAUAAGUUACAAAUAAAGCUUACUGCUUAAAGACAAGGCUUACAUUUCAUAAAUUUAAAUUAAACAGCAAAUGAGCAAGCACAUAAGAAAUAUCAUCCUUCUUUAACACUUAGUUGUGAAAGAAUUUGUAGAUCUGAGAUGAAAUAAGAAACUGUUAUCCAAUCUAAAAAUGUAACAAUUAGUUGCAGGAAUAUAUGAGAACCUGGGGGGGGGGGGGUGUUACACUCCUCCAUUGUUCUUUGCAAGGCAUUUGAGUGUUUGAGUGUGGUAAUUUGGCUUGCAAUUUACUUGAGUGACACAAGAUUCGUACUUGCAAUUAGGAACCAUAAGUACAAGUUUCCUGUAGCACUUCCUGGUAGGGAAUUUCACAGGGACAAUUUUACAUGUGUCUCAACCACUGGGUCCAAUCUCUUGACUUAUCUGAGCCACACUGAGUGAAGAUGAAUUGUCUUGGGACACAUAAAUUAGAUAUAUAAUAUCUUUAAUGUAUGUAAGUAACAAAAUGUUUUAAUAUAUAUAUAAACUAUCUCUUUACAAAAAAAGAAAAUCAGACUCUUAAUUACUUCAUAUCUCAUUAUACUUUUUCUUUUCACUUAUUUGGAACUCCUUUCUUGUUUCCAUUCAGUCUGACAAAACCAAACUACGUUUCUCUAAAAAUUACUACAUGAUUACAAUAAUAAUGCAAACAAUACAAAAUAUAUUCAAGGUCAGUUUUUUAGUACAAUACAAGUUCGCAUGUCAAGUAUCAUAGUAUAUCUGUACGGGAUACAAUACAAUCUUUUAAGCCCUUUUACACAUAAUUCAUCCCUUCUGUUAUAGAAGGGAGAAAGUCUAUGAGGCUUUUAAGAACAUCAUUCAGCUCAUCCACAUGAAUUGGGUAAUGGUGAUAACCAUAUUGAAAAGUAAUACUUUGUAGCUGAGAAUUUGCUCUAUCAAGUAGUGUUAACAUGCUCUUUGUAUGUGUUGUAGUUUCCACGGAAAUAAAUAGGAGGCAUUACUUGAUUUCGGUGCCAUUUUUAUCAUGCUAUGAACUACUCUUUGACUUAAGAUCAGUUCAUAUAAGGUUGUCAUACUAAGUAUGUAUACAGUACUACUGGGGUUCCCUUCCACCCUACCCCCUCAACUUCAAAAUCAAGCCUUAUAUGUUAAUUGGAUCAUCCUACCUUCUAAAAGCACAUAAUACUUGAAAUACAUUCAGGAUACAAGAUGGCAAAUGCAAAAUUCUUUCCAAUAAUAAUCUGGUAUUUUACUGAAACAGAAAAUAAAAAAAACUCUCAGCACUGAAUGAGUAAUAUUGACAUGAAUGGUAUACAGUUUCUCCACAUUUAAAUAAAUACUGAGCAGUUUUGCUUCAGUAAUCUGAUACAGUCAUAUUCCAGUCUUUCAAACAAUUCAAAACAAGAUUAUAUGUUGCCAGACUGAAUUUGAAGAAAGACAUAUAAAACUCCAUUUCUGUAAUCAUAAAUCAGAAAUGAUUCCCGGAAAUAACUGAAAGUAUUCGAGAGAAGCAGAGUUUUCUUCCCAAUUUAAGCAUAGAUGAACUAAAUAUUAAUUUAGGUCCCUCCUACCAAAUAUAAUAUAUAUAAAUAUAAUAUAUUCAGCCCAGUUGAACAAAAAGCUCUUGAUAACUCAUUUUUUUCUUGUUAACAAGGCAGUCAAAAUCCUGACAAAUAUGUCAGCAUAGGAGUUUAAAAACACUAGAAAAAUAAAGAAUAUUACGUACAAAAUGAGCAUAUGGAGAUCCCCAGCAAAGCCUUUAAUUUUUUUUUUAAUGACAAAUACAGUCUUUACUGCUUGUUAUAACUCUAAUGAAAUGUUCUAACUACUUCUCAGUGAUGCUAUGGCUCACACCUGUUAGCAGCUAUCCUUAUCUUAAAUUCAAAUCUUGCUUCCCAUAGAGUAUGGCAGAACUUCCCAGUAUUGCAGACUAACUCAGCUCUCAAUCAUUUUAUAAAGACAGUAUUUUGAUCACAACUGCCCACCACUCUCACUCUGUUAAAAUACAAUUUGCUUUGUAUAGCCUCCAAUCCUUAAGCCUCCCCUUGGGUAUGAUGCCUCCUUUACACAGUGUCACUGAAAAGCUCUGCCUUACUGAGGCAGUCCUUGUUGCUCCUUUAAGAAAGGUCCAGCCCAAGACCAUGUCCCCUAGAAGAAAUGAUGCUUAGGUCAUUCAAAAAUAACAAAGAUUUACCUAAUGCAGGUGAGAAAGCCUAAGCUGAAAGUUCCAACUAAGGUCAGAACAUGAUGUAUAGAUCACUUUCUCCUAGAAAGCCUCUGUUCUCAUAGAAGAAGAGGCCUCUGUUGAGAAACAGCUUGCUCGGCAGCACGUAGUUACUGAUUUACUAAUGAUUUAUGAUGUAAUGAUGUAAUCCCUAGAUACGUGGAAUGUGGUGUUUCCAGUGUGUUCUAGUAUAUUUCAGCAUAUCCAUAAUAUUCUGUAUCCAUAGUGUUGUAGUUAACAACAUAUCCCAUAUAUGGAGAUUACUCGGGUAACGAUAUUGUUAGCGUGCGCGCUGCAUAGAGCUUGUAUCCCUGGACCCUGUAUCCCUGGAAGCAUAUACGCUAUAUAAGAUGGUGUGUUGUUACAAUAAAGUUGAAGCUGCAUAACCUCACAUUGAGUGUCAGGCUUCCGCGCGCUUUGGAGGGCAACCCUGUGGGAAGCGUGGGGAGUUUCCCAACAGGCCUCAAGAUGGUCUACAGCUUCUCACAAGCGGAGUGGAGGAGCAGCGCUGAUCUUUGCUCUCCGAUGACAGUGACAGGACCUGAGGGAAUAGCAUGGAACUGCAUCAGGGGAAGGAGAUACUGAAGCAAUUUGAGAUGACAGUCCUGGACCACAUUUGUUACUGAUGACAAGAAGUGAUGUUACCAGAGUCAAAAUGGUAGUCCAUUUAGUGACAACAUAUCAAUUCUCCAUUGAAGUAGAAGUUCAAGAUUGAGCCCACAGUGGUAAAGUGAUGUGUACGAUCUUUUGGGAUAAGAAAGGGGUGACCCUUCUGGAUUUCCUGGAACCUGAAUAAACCGUCAACUCUGACCUCUAUAUCCCAGCACUGGCUAAGCUGAAGACUCGAAUUUCCAGAGUCUAGACAGAGAAGAGAGAAGAUGACAAACCUUCUCUUGCAAAACAAUAACACCAGGCCCCAUUUCAGUUUGAAGACCAUGGAGCUCAUUACCAGUCUUGUUCUACCACAUCCACUGUAUAGUCCAGACUUGGCAGUUUCUGACUUCCGUUUGAGUGAAUGAAAGAUGAACUAUGUGGGCAGCAUUUUCCUAGCAUUGACAUCAUUGUAGCAGUUGAGAAACGGCGGGUCACCUCUGCUCGCACAGACUUUUAUGAACACAGCACGCAGGCUCUUAUUCACUGCUUCUGAAAAUGCAUAGCUAAUGGUGGACUAUGUUGAAAAGUAGUGUUUGUCGCUGAGAAUUUGCUCUACCAAAUAGUGUUCUCAUGCUCUUUGUAUCAUGGAAAUAAGUAGGAGACAUUACUUUCAAGAAGACAUAUGUAUAUGCUCCAUAUAAUUAUUCCACAAACAGAAGCUAUAGUGUGAAUUUCAUAACAUCUGCAGGAUCAGCUAUCUAUUGUAGAAUGCCUUCUUCCCCAGUGGGCAGCCUGUAAAAUGUUAACAAUAACAUUCAAAAAAACUAAUUUGUAGAAGCUAAAAAUAAAUGCUGUGUGACAAGAGUUUCAAGUAUAAGCAAAGAGGAAAUUCAGGUGCUGUAAAGAAAUUGUAAGAUUAAAAAAAAUGUUGCUAAAGGUGCAACCAAUUGCUCACAAAUAAAUGCAAUAUAGUUGCUAUUCCUAAAGCACCCAUACCUUUUUUGGUGAUUUUUAUUAGGUAGGGUACAGUUCUGUUUCUUAACAUUACAUUCAUAUAUCAGCAAUUGCGGCAAGCACCCACACGACACAUCUACGCUUGUUUAUUUUAUUAAUUAUUCCCGUAAACAUAAGCAGGAAGGUAAGUCUUCUGAUGAAAACAAAUUCUAAAUCUCAAUAAAUCAGGCAGAGACUGAGAAAGAUUUACUAGGUAUUUGACUCAGGUCAUACUGAAUGAUAUAUUGAAAGCAUACACAAUAUUUUUUGAUGCUUCCAAGAUGAUUUAUGUUUUGAAAUAACCCAAUAAAUAUGUCUUCCUUUCUCCUCAA